GAUUAACGCUGGCGGCAUGCCUAAUACAUGCAAGUCGAACGGAAGCAGCAAUGCUUUAGUGGCGAACGGGUGAGUAACACGUAGGGAACCUACCUAUACGACGAGGAUAACUACUGGAAACGGUAGCUAAAACUGGAUAGGAUCAAUUGAGGCAUCUUGAUUGAUUUAAAGAUCCUUCGGGAUUACGUAGAGAUGGCCCUGCGGCGCAUUAGCUAGUUGGUGAGGUAACGGCCCACCAAGGCGACGAUGCGUAGCUGAGCUGAGAGGCUAAACAGCCACACUGGGACUGAGACACGGCCCAGACCCCUACGGGAGGCAGCAGUAGGGAAUUUUCGGCAAUGGGGGAAACCCUGACCGAGCAAUGCCGCGUGAACGAUGAAGGUCUUCGGAUUGUAAAGUUCUGUGAUUGGGGAAGAAUGGUAUUCUUAGGGAAUGAGGAGUACAUGACGGUACCCGAUUAGAAAGCCCCGGCUAACUAUGUGCCAGCAGCCGCGGUAAAUCA
rnacentral:rRNA from 1 species